AGAGUUUGAUUAUGGCUCAGGACGAACGCUGGCGGCGCGCUUAACACAUGCAAGUCGAGCGAGAACCGGUCCUUCGGGACCGGGGAAAGCGGCGAACGGGUGAGUAACACGUGGGUAAUCAACCCCCGGCACCGGGAUAGCCCGAGGAAACUCGGAUUAAUACCGGACGGCCCAGCAGCUCUUCGGGGCGGCUGGAAAAGGUAGCUUCGGCCUCCGGCCGGGGACGAGCCCGCGGCGGAUUAGCUUGUUGGUGGGGUAACGGCCUACCAAGGCGACGAUCCGUAGCUGGUCUGAGAGGACGAUCAGCCACACUGGGACUGAGACACGGCCCAGACUCCUACGGGAGGCAGCAGUGGGGAAUCUUGCACAAUGGGCGAAAGCCUGAUGCAGCGACGCCGCGUGAGGGAAGAAGGCUUUCGGGUUGUAAACCUCUUUCAGGAGGGACGAAGCUACUCGGGUUAAUAGCCCAGAGGGUGACGGUACCUUCAGAAGAAGCCCCGGCUAACUACGUGCCAGCAGCCGCGGUAAUACGUAGGGGGCAAGCGUUGUCCGGAUUUAUUGGGCGUAAAGAGCGUGUAGGCGGCCAGGGAGGUCCGUUGUGAAAACUCGAGGCUCAACCUCGAGACGCCGAUGGAAACCCCCUGGCUAGAGUCCGGAAGAGGAGAGUGGAAUUCCUGGUGUAGCGGUGAAAUGCGCAGAUAUCAGGAAGAACACCCGUGGCUANNNCGGCUCUCUAGUACGGUACUGACGCUGAGACGCGAAAGCG
rnacentral:rRNA from 1 species